GAUGAAGAACGAGCGAAAUGCGAUAAGUAAUGUGAAUUGCAGAAUUCAGUGAAUCAUCGAAUCUUUGAACGCACAUUGCGCCCCCUGGUAUUCCGGGGGGCAUGCCUGUUCGAGCGUCAUUACAACCCUCAAGCUCUGCUUGGUAUUGGGCCCCGCCAGUUCUGGCGGGCCCUAAAGUCAGUGGCGGUGCCUUCCGGCUCCGAGCGUAGUAAUUCUUCUCGCUCUGGAGACCCGGUUGUGUGCUUGCCAACAACCCCCAAUUUUUUAAGGUUGACCUCGGAUCAGGUAGGGAUACCCGCUGAACUUAAGCAUAUCAAUAAGCGGAGGA
rnacentral:misc_RNA from 1 species